rnacentral:sRNA from 1 species
GUUACAGAUCGACAUAUCUGGAGAUCAGCAUUAGAAAGUGGACGGUAUGAGCUGUUAAGUGAGGAAAACAAGGAAAAUGGGAUAAUUAAAACUGUGAAUGAAGACGUAGAAGAGAUGGAAAUUGAUGAACAAACAAAGGUCAUAGUAAAAGACAGACUUUUGGGGAUAAAAACAGAAACUCCAAGUACUGUAUCAACAAAUGCAAGUACACCACAAUCAGUGAGCAGUGUGGUUCAUUAUCUGGCGAUGGCACUCUUUCAAAUAGAGCAGGGCAUUGAGCGGCGCUUUCUGAAAGCUCCACUUGGUAAGUAUCUGUUUUUAUUUCAAAAUAUUAGUUGUGUUGUAAGUAAUUUUGAGUUGGUCUUUAACUAAUAGAACUUUAUUGGCUGACAUAAUGAAAUUGAAAGUCUUAAAAACUUGAGAUGUUUUCAUUUUUAAAUGAGUUCUUUUAAGGUGAGAUUUAUUUUUAGAAUAAUAGUCUUUUGUGAAGAGUUUCAUCAAAAGAAAGAUUACCAGCUAGGCACAGUGGCUCAUGCCCGUAAUCCCAACACUUUGGGAGGCUGAGGUGGAAUCGCUUGAGCCCAAGAGUUUGAGACCAGCCUGGGCAACAUAUAGCAAGAACCCCAUCUCUACAAAAU